CCUGCCCCUAGAGGUGUUUUAGGUGUGGCUGCAGUGUCAUAUGUGUGUCAGUAGGUGGCAGAGAGGAGAGAGGCUGUGCCUAUGCUCACUGUUCAGACCAUUGAACAUUUGAAUGAUCAGUAGCCUAACAUU
rnacentral:snoRNA from 7 species